UACGUAGGGGCCUAGCGUUGUCCGGAUUUAUUGGGCGUAAAGAGCUUGUAGGCGGUUUGUCGCGUCUGCUGUGAAAUUUCGGGGCUCAACCCCGAACUUGCAGUGGGUACGGGCAGACUAGAGUGUGGUAGGGGAGACUGGAAUUCCUGGUGUAGCGGUGAAAUGCGCAGAUAUCAGGAGGAACACCGAUGGCGAAGGCAGGUCUCUGGGCCACUACUGACGCUGAGAAGCGAAAGCAUGGGGAGCGAACAGG
rnacentral:rRNA from 1 species